UGGGGAAUAUUGCACAAUGGGGGAAACCCUGAUGCAGCAACGCCGCGUGAAGGAAGACGGUUUUCGGAUUGUAAACUUCUGUUCUUAGUGAAGAAAAAAAUGACGGUAACUAAGCAGCAAGCCACGGCUAACUACGUGCCAGCAGCCGCGGUAAUACGUAGGUGGCAAGCGUUAUCCGGAUUUACUGGGUGUAAAGGGAGCGUAGGCGGGAUUACAAGUUGGAUGUGAAAUACCGGGGCUCAACCCCGGGGCUGCAUCCAAAACUGUAGUUCUUGAGUGAAGUAGAGGCAAGCGGAAUUCCGAGUGUAGCGGUGAAAUGCGUAGAUAUUCGGAGGAACACCAGUGGCGAAGGCGGCUUGCUGGGCUUUAACUGACGCUGAGGCUCGAAAGUGUGGGGAGCAAACAGG
rnacentral:rRNA from 2 species